rnacentral:rRNA from 1 species
GACGAACGCUGGCGGCGUGCUUAACACAUGCAAGUCGAACGCUGAAGCUUGGUGCUUGCACUGGGUGGAUGAGUGGCGAACGGGUGAGUAAUACGUGAGUAACCUGCCCUUGACUCUGGGAUAAGCCUGGGAAACUGGGUCUAAUACUGGAUACGACAUGUCACCGCAUGGUGGUGUGUGGAAAGGGUUUUACUGGUUUUGGAUGGGCUCACGGCCUAUCAGCUUGUUGGUGGGGUAAUGGCUCACCAAGGCGACGACGGGUAGCCGGCCUGAGAGGGUGACCGGCCACACUGGGACUGAGACAAGGCCCAGACUCCUACGGGAGGAAGCAGUGGGGAAUAUUGCACAAUGGGCGGAAGCCUGAUGCAGCGACGCCGCGUGAGGGAUGACGGCCUUAGGGUUGUAAACCUCUUUCAGAACGGAAGAAGCGAAAGUGAAGGUAAGUGCAGAAGAAGCGCCGGCUAACUACGUG